GAUGAACGCUGGCGGCGUGCCUAAUACAUGCAAGUCGAGCGAACGGACGAGAAGCUUGCUUCUCUGAUGUUAGCGGCGGACGGGUGAGUAACACGUGGAUAACCUACCUAUAAGACUGGGAUAACUUCGGGAAACCGUAGCUAAUACCGGAUAAUAUUUUGAAUCGCAUGGUUCAAAAGUGAAAGACGGUCUUGCUGUCACUUAUAGAUGGAUCCGCGCUGCAUUAGCUAGUUGGUAAGGUAACGGCUUACCAAGGCAACGAUGCAUAGCCGACCUGAGAGGGUGAUCGGCCACACUGGAACUGAGACACGGUCCAGACUCCUACGGGAGGCAGCAGUAGGGAAUCUUCCGCAAUGGGCGAAAGCCUGACGGAGCAACGCCGCGUGAGUGAUGAAGGUCUUCGGAUCGUAAAACUCUGUUAUUAGGGAAGAACAUAUGUGUAAGUAACUGUGCACAUCUUGACGGUACCUAAUCAGAAAGCCACGGCUAACUACGUG
rnacentral:rRNA from 1 species